rnacentral:rRNA from 1 species
UUCCGUAGGGUAACCUGCGGAGGGAUCAUUACUGAGUUUACGCUCUAUAACCCUUUGUGAACAUACCUAUAACUGUUGCUUCGGCGGGUAGGGUCUCCGCGACCCUCCCGGCCUCCCGCCUCCGGGCGGGUCGGCGCCCGCCGGAGGAUAACCAAACUCUGAUUUAACGACGUUUCUUCUGAGUGGUACAAGCAAAUAAUCAAAACUUUUAACAACGGAUCUCUUGGUUCUGGCAUCGAUGAAGAACGCAGCGAAAUGCGAUAAGUAAUGUGAAUUGCAGAAUUCAGUGAAUCAUCGAAUCUUUGAACGCACAUUGCGCCCGCCAGCAUUCUGGCGGGCAUGCCUGUUCGAGCGUCAUUUCAACCCUCAAGCUCUGCUUGGUGUUGGGGCCCUACAGCUGAUGUAGGCCCUCAAAGGUAGUGGCGGACCCUCCCGGAGCCUCCUUUGCGUAGUAACUUUACGUCUCGCACUGGGAUCCGGAGGGACUCUUGCCGUAAAACCCCCCAAUUUCCAAAGGUGACCUCGGAUCA